UCACGCUGUGCGAAUUCUCCCCGUCGUCGCCGUCGGUCCCCUCUCCAGCUCCGUUGCCGUCGCUUGCUUGGAACAAUCAUCCAGAUGUAAACAAGUCAUGAUGCACUUUUCUGGUACUUCAGGUUAAUUCGAUUUCUGUCCACCGAUUGAUUGGGGGUCGUGGUUUGUGAGCAGCGUAAAAGCAGUCACAAAUCCAUUAAUGACUAUGAACCUCAGGUAGUUGGUGCUAAGUGGUUAGAGAGGUGUUUGGGGGCAUCUUCUUGAAGAAACAUCUGGAGGUGGCUCAAAGAUGAACAUAUAAAUUUAAUCCAAGAUUUGGAAAGGAAAGCGACGAAGUUCAUGAGACUAGGAUGGAACAAGAUAUUUGUAGAUGAUAAAUUUGCCAACAACGGUCCCACCAGAUAUGAGACUGAGAAGGAAUAUGAAUCGCUAUUUUGUUAUUAACUAAGUUUUAGAAUUUUCAGAUUGAGAAGCUACAUGAAUCAAUAUUUUGUUAUUAACUAAGUUUUAGCAUUUGCAUUGAUGCUCAAUAUUAUUAA